AGGAAGCAGCUCCUAGAC
rnacentral:piRNA from 1 species